rnacentral:ncRNA from 2 species
AAUAUUAACUAGGGGAGCCUAUAUCGAUAGGCUGAGAAAGAGAUGUUAUCUCUGACCCUCAUAACCUGAUGUGGUUAAUCCCACCGUAGGGAAGUGUGUUAUAGUAAGU